rnacentral:rRNA from 1 species
GAACGCCCCGCAAGGGGAGUGGCAGACGGGUGAGUAACGCGUGGGAACGUGCCCAAAGGUACGGAACAACUCCGGGAAACUGGAGCUAAUACCGUAUGUGUCCGUAAGGAGAAAGAUUUAUCGCUGAAGGAUCGGCCCGCGUCUGAUUAGCUAGUUGGUGGGGUAAUGGCCCACCAAGGCGACGAUCAGUAGCUGGUCUGAGAGGAUGAUCAGCCUCACUGGGACUGAGACACGGCCCAGACUCCUACGGGAGGCAGCAGUGGGGAAUAUUGGACAAUGGGCGCAAGCCUGAUCCAGCCAUGCCGCGUGGGUGAUGAAGGCCCUAGGGUUGUAAAGCCCUUUCGGCGGGGAAGAUAAUGACGGUACCCGCAGAAGAAGCCCCGGCUAACUUCGUG